rnacentral:lncRNA from 10 species
CCAGCUGCUAUAGCCUGCAGCAGCAGCUGCUGCAAGUGGGGGAGUUUGUCUUUGAGGCAUGUGAAAAUGCAUGGAAACUUUGCUGCUGGUGGCAGCAGGAUCUUUGCCAAUGGCUAGUGCUUUAGCUCUGGAGGCAGCAGCCAGCUGCAGCAGUGGCUGCAGUUUUAAUGUGAAUGUAGCAAGAAGCCAUUUUCAUCCAACAUGAUGACUUGGAAAAGAUGCCUCUACUUCUUAUAUUCUGAAGGGGAGGAGGCCUGAACCAGAAGGUGGGACCUGAGAGGUCAGGCCUGAUGUCUGGGAGCUCGUCUAAUUCUGCCACUUUAAGGGUCUACUCUGCAGUCCUCAAAGUUCAGAUGAUUCUUCCCCAAACCAUCAAAGACAGCCCUGGCUGUCUCUGAGUUCUUAUGCCCAUGAGGAUGACCUAUGAAUCCCAGAAAGAUACAGUUUAGAGAAGCAGCAUCAAGAGAGGCUCUGAUGUGGCUUCAUCACUAACUGCAGCAGGACAACAUCAGUGCACAUUCGGAGCCCGUUUUAUAGAAUGGACUGUGAAGGCAAAGUGUCAAAGAGGGAAAAGGCAGCAUUGCAAAGACAGAGCAGAUAUUUACUGAAUACAUGCCAUGUUCCAAACAUUCAGAAAGGAGUUGUAAUCGAUAAAGAAGACACCUGUCUACAAGAAGCUUACAGUCUACUGGCCAGAGAUGAGAUGUGUCCACAGAUAACCAUGCUGCAAGUUAAGUAAAGAAGAAUCUGUAAGAGUGCUAUGCCACUGUGACCUGUUCUUUGAAAAAGCUUGAAAUGAAAUCACAAAGCAACUUUCUUGAUUUCCCACUAUUUACAUUUACUUAAGGAGGAAAGUUCUACUAACCCCAAAUAUGUACAUGGAAAGAUCCAUGACCUUUAGGAAUAUUUUGGGGGAAAUAAAAUGUUCAAUGAUACCUGAAAUCAUAUCUAGAUUGAACUCAUAUUUAGAAUGCCUGAUCCCAUGUAAUGGUCAAAGCUUCCAACUUCAUACAAAGUUAUAGCUGGUUUCUCUCUCCCCAGCCAGUGCCUGCAACAGGGCAGGGGUUGAAUGGUCAGCUUGUAUCGGCAGAGGUCCCAUUGUUCCUGCAUGCGGCCCAGUGGGCAGGGCCUAACUUUGUACCAUCCCAGCUCUCUUGCUUGCAAAGCCCAUAUGAAAACCCUAGGAAACACUUAGGCAUCUUUGCCUGAGCAGAUACUGGGAGAGCAACUCACCCAUGUGCCACCUCCUCUGCUUUCCUCCCUUCUGUCACCCAGAUUUUACAGGUGAAGGUCACAUGUCAGGCACUCAUUCUCCCACACUACAGGGGACAUACACUCUGCUGUCUGAGUGGUCCCAUUGAAGACCCCCUAGCAGACUGGAGAUAAGGUACAGUUACACCUGCCUCUCCCCUUAGGGAGGUGGAACUCACAGCUCACCUGUCUCUAAAGAAGCCCUCUUCACAAAUACCUUCCUGUCAACCUCCCACACACUUAUUUUUUUAAUACCCUUGACAAGAGUGAGGGUUUUGAGCUGUGAAACCAGUUUCUGGAUAUUUCCUUUGAAAUUUCCAUCCCAGUCUGGCUCCUUGCUGGAGCAGCCAAUAUUCUGCCAUUUCAGGUGCUGAGCCCUGGCCUGGGAGGUGCCAGCAGGGAGAGGCCAAUUCCAGCAGAGGAGAGUCCAGGCAUGUGGGGAUAUGGUGGUGUUCUCCAUGGAGGGAGAAACAGGGCAUUAAUAAAACAGUGCCAGGAAUAACCCUGUGAUUGAUGGGUAAAGGUCAUGGACUCUGGGAUACUGGCAGGCACUGAUGGGAACCUGUUAGGGCUGGACCGGGACCAUCUCUGGCUUCCUGCUUCCCUCAGGUACCAGGAUGCUCUGCUAUGGUCUCUGGCAAAACUGAGCACUGGGGCUGGGCACAUAAUUUUGCCUGGGACAACUGCUGUAGGGGCUUCAGAAUGCCUGGUUUUCUAAAUUUUAUUGGUGUCAGGAGAGAGCUUUGAUAAGCUUUAAUGUGCUAUUAAUUAUUUGGGCUGUUAAAAAAGGGAGUGCAUGAGAGGCUUGGAGUUGAAUGAUCUCAUUUCUGAGGUUCUGAGGAGGUACACACAUACACCCCAGUGGAAGCCAACUCAGGAUCCAGCUGCUCACGGAGUUCCUCCCUCUGCUCAGACACCAAGAGUGCUGCUGCCUGAGACUGAGCAGAGUAGGGAACUGGGGAGGAUCUCCACUGCUUUAAACUUAAAUGUAACUUGGGCAAUUUGGACUUUCUUUGGGCUUUAAUUCGCAAGGGCUAAAUACUUUGAUUUUGGACUUUAAUCUCUUUGGGAUUUUAAUCUCUAAAUUUUUCCCUAGGAAUUUGAUAAUGGGAAGGGUUUAUAUCCAAAUUUGGGACAUCUUAUUUUCCCAUUUAUUAUUGAAGAAAUCUUUAUGCAUUUUUUAUUAGCUCUUUAUGCAUUUUAUUAUUGAAGUAUCUUCACUCUGCUAUUAAACCUCAUUACAGAACCUCUGAUGAGGUUAGUGGUCCAUGUGGCUGGACAUCAAUUUGGAUUGGAAAUAGAACAGGCUCUGAACUUGCAGUCUUAGACACAACAUAGCCUUGGACUGGAUUUUAUUAACACACUGUUCUGGCUCAUCUCAGAGGCUUAUGGAAGUGAAAUCAACAGUGUCUUAGGAUGGUCCCAGGAAGGCACAGGAAGGAACAGAAGUUGAUGCUGGGGGAGCGACCUCCUGCUCAGAUAGUUAGCUCAUCCCCUCCUGGAGCCAGAUGACCACAUACCUGGUUGUCCAGGGGUUAAACAUUAAGCCCAGCUGGUUAAGAUAACAAAAAUCUGGGGAAUUUUUAUCCCCUUCCUUCUCUAGUUUUCAUAUAGAGGGACUUCCCUGACCCCACACACUUGGCCCCUCUCUACUCCCUUUUUGACCCAGCUAGGAGUGAUUUGUCACUUGAGUUUAUGUAUGACUCACUCUCUUCCCCUCCCUCUCCCUCUCUUUUGGUAUAUGCCUGCCCUGGGAGAACACACAAGCUCUGCUGUCAGCCAUGUGGAAUGAAGCAUGCCGGGCCUCAUCUCGGACCUGCACACUGCCCCUCAUUAUGUUCAUGAUCGGCAGGAAAUGGAUAAAGAGUGGCCAGAAGGUGAAAAAGAAGAGAUGGCCCCCUGAAAGGGACAUCCACAUUUAUUUGAGCACCUACCAGCAAAGUGCUGGGCACACAGAAGGACAACGUGAUGAAGCGCCAUCACAUGGCUGGUAGCCUGUGGUGAGUCACCGGACUUCUCGACUCCCACCUCACUAGGGUGGAAGGAACAGUAACCACAACGCUCUGCAACUCGGGCUGCGCCCGCAUGAUUGGAAACAAUCUGUGAAAUUGUGGAGUGAACAACCCCGAAGAAAUAGACUUCUAAUUCUAGCCUUUUGGAGAUUAUUAACCCAACUCCCAGAUUCUACAGAUGAGAAAAGGGAGGCCCAGGGAGGUGGAGAAACAUGUGUAGGAUCACAGAGAUGCCUUCAGCUCUCCAAAACAACAGAAAUGAUCAAAGAUGGAGGCAAGAAGACCAGAGAACCCUAAAUGUUUACUGUCUCCAGUGUGUUUGGAAACAGCUUGGACCAGUGUAGAGUGCUGGAACAGAGAGUCAAGAGCAUCAGGCGCGCCACCCAGAUAGCAUCUGAAAGAUUGUAAACAGGAUGAUUCACAAACUGGUGGCAGCAGCUAAAAGCAGUGCAGUUCGCGACCCUCAGCACACGCCAAGAUUCUAAAUGGGAUGUUGCGACAACAAAGCAGCCUGAAGAUUCUAAAACAUAAUGGUGUCACCAGGACAUUCACAGGGUGCUGUAACCUGUAACUGACAAGCAUACUCAUCAUCAUUUCUCCUUGGGCAUGCUGCAUCCUUGCGCUCCACUGGGCCUCCUGUUGCAUUGCUAUUUAUUUGCAUCUACAAGCAGGGGAGCAAGUAUGCUGCGGAAAUAGCCCCAGAGAGGUGUCUGAUUCCCAUAGGCCCUUGCAGCCAGCUACAACUGAAUGAUUUCCGAUAUCAGUUACUGAAAAUUCUGACCAUGAUAUGCAGACCAUGGCAGAUCUUAAUGACAAUAACAUCAUCUCACAUUUUGAUGGCGUUUAACAGUUUACAAAGUGCUUUCACAUACAUUAUCACAUUUAAUCCCAGUGAGGUCGAUAGUCUUCUUCUCCAUUUUAUUGGCAGCUUGGUGUAGUGGAAAGAGCUGUGGAAUCAGACAGACUUAAGUUCAGAUUCUGCCUCUGACUACCAAACCAUGGACAAUUUGCUUCAUUUCUCUCCCUUUUCUUACCUAUAGGAUGAGGAAUCAUUUCUAUUUCCGAGGUUUGUGGUGAAAAUUAAAUAACAUAUGUAAAGACAUACAAUAUAGGGCCCGAUGCAUAGAAGUACUCGAUAACCAUUAGUUUCUGUCCACUUACAGAGGAAGAAAAUGAAGCUUAAGAGGUUAAGGGAGUUGCUCAAAGUAAUAGCUAGUAAAUGGCAGAACUGAGACUUCAUUUAUUUUACAAAUAUUAUUGAACACCUACUAUAUGCUGGUGCCUUGGGCAUAGGAAAGUGGAUGAGUCAUAAUUCUAGUUUUUGAGAUGUUCACAGUAGAGCGGUGGAAUCUGAAAUGCAAAUAAUCAAUUAUAAUCGAGCGUAAUCUGAGAGGCAAAAAGUACUUAGGGAAUAUCCUAAAGCCAUGGGUGCACCCUAGAGUAUCUACACAAGAGAUAAGUCUGAGGAAGAGGAACCUUCCAGGAGGCAGCAGUAGAGUUACACCUGAAAUAAAAUGUUGGCAGGUGGAUGAGGGUGAGCAAGGAGAGGAGCAUUCAGGCGAAGACAACAGUGUGUGCAUUCAUCAGGAGGGUCAAAGGAGCCUGGCAUGUCCACUGCAGCACAGAAGAGAACCUGAGCAGACAGGAGAGAGAAGGGAGAGGAGGAGGCAAGGAAGCAGGAGUGAGAAGAAUGAAGGGGCUUGCAGGUAAUGCUGAGAAGCGUGCAUCUUUGUCAGUCCACACUGGCACAAACUCUGUGAUGAUUUACAGAGAGAGCCAACCUGGUCAGAUUUGCAUUUUUGAAAUUGUGGCAGCAAUGUGAAAGAUUGACUAGAGGAGGGGAUAAUGGAGGCAGUAGUUCAAUGAGAGAUAAUUAGGCUAUGAACUAAGAAAGUGGCAGAGCAGACAAUUUCAAGCGGUAUAGCAGAGGCAGAAUUGACAGGAUGUGGCCAUUAACUGGAUGUCAAGACAGGAGAGACAGAGAGAACUCUAGGAGGACUCCCAGGCUAUGAGCUUUGGUGGCUGGGCGAACGAAGAUGUCCCCCACUGACGUAGAAGGAGAGGACAUUUGAAGAGAUGAUAAUAAAUUCAUGUGGACAUGUUGACUCUGAGAGACUCAUGGAUAUCAAGAAGGAGGUGUUCAGUAGACAGCUAAAAAUAUGAGUCUGGAGUUUGGGAGAGGACUCACAAUUAGAUGCAUUGAUCUAGGGAUCAAUGGUUUUUAGACAAUGGUUGAAGCUGUUUUUUUAUGCCAAGAGGAUAGAGCAAGAAGAAAAGUGGGUCCUGGAGAACUCUAGGGAAUAUCAAUGUUUAGGUGCUAGAAUGAGGAUUGUUGGAGAGAUGGAACUACCAGGAGAAAGGGAGAGCUCAGAGGCCAGGGAAGGCAAGCAUUUUUUGAUGAUGAAAGUAGAGGAAAGUAUCAAAUUCCACCAAAGGAUCAAAGAAGAUGAGAACUGAGAUAUGCCUGGCAUUUGGGCAAUGAUAAGAUCACUUUGGCAACUUCAGUUUUAGACAAAGUGGUUAAAAAAGAGGCUUUUUUUUUUCUAUGACCCAAUAUAAGAAAAAUAUUUUAGGCCAGACAUGAUGGCUCACACCUGUAAUCCCAACACUUUGGGAGGCCUAGGCAGGUGGAUCACCUGAGGUCAGGAGUUUGAUACCAGCCUGGCCAAUGUGGUGAAACCCCGUUUCUACUAAUAAUACAAAAUUUAGCCAGGCAUGGUGGCAUGUGCCUGUAGUCCCAGCUACCCAGGAGCCUGAGGGAGGAGAAUCGCUUGAACCUGGGAGGCAGAGGCUGCAGUGAACUGAGAUUGCACCACUGCACUCCAGCCUAGGCAAUAGAGUGAGACUCCAUGAAAGAAAGAAAGAGAGAGAGAGAGAGAAAAGAAAAGAAAGGAAAGAAAAGAAAGGAGGGAGGGAAGGAGGGAGGGGAAAGAAGGAAGGAAGGAAGGAAGGAAGGAAGGAAGGAAGGAAGGAAGGAAGGAAGGAAGGAAAGAAAGAAAAAUAUAUUUUACAUUGUGACCUGAGAAAAACUUUCAAGAAACAAUACUUACACUCUGACAUGUCAUGACGUGUCACACGCCACCUGUUCUGUUCUAUUCUAUUCUAUUCUAUUCUAUUCUAUUCUAUUCUAUUCUAUUCUAUUCUAUUGCAUUCUAUUGCAUUCUGUUCCAUUCCAUCCCAUUCUAUUCAAAUGCUGCUUGGCCCUCACUAAAUUGAUUUUAUGACCAACUAGUGAGUUUCAACCUGCAGUUUGAAAAAACAGUAGUUUAGACAAAUACAGUUUUCUCACACAAAAAUUAUAUGGAGCAAAGUGUGGGAUAGAAGAAAGAACAUUGGAUUUUGAGUGAAGACACCUGAUUUUCAGCAUGACUCAUUUACUUACUGACUGUGUGACCUUAGAUGUGCCCAUUAACCUUUGUGUGUCUCUUCUAUUACCUGUAAAAUUCAGAUAAUAGAUCAGCUGCAAAGGGAUCUUCUGGGGAUCAAAUGAGAUAAAAUGCAUGAAUGCAAAAAGCAUAAGCCUAAAAUAGUCCUGGUCAAAGUAAAAUUACCAUAAUCAAAGAAAGAGCAGAAUGGUGCAUGGUGUAUCCCAGUUGGCUCUGGGUCUGUCAUCUGAAUCCUAGAGCCACAUCUCUCCAGAACAUACUGAGAACCAGAAAUGGGAUCAAAAUAAUUUAACCAAUCAAAACAGGUGUUGCUGCUAUAUUUAUAAAAUUCACAAAAUUUACUGACACAGAAGCCCGUGUGAAAUCCCAUCAGAAUCAUUGUAGUCUUGUUCUAAUACUAUUGUAGCCAUGUUGAUUUUCUGAUCUAUAUCUAUGGACCUGUAUCAGAAGGACAUUCAAUAAAAUCCUAUUGGAAGAGGAGCUGAUAGAGGCAAGUAUUUUCGCUACAGUGUGACAUGACAGCAAACAGACUGCAGGGAAACAGCAAGAUGAAAUCAUUUAAUAUAGGCAAUAUGUAAACUUCAGCAGACCCUGGUGAUAUCACUGUAUUAAGGUAUAAUACAAUAACUGAUUUUUAUGGUUCAUUCAACAAACUACUGUGUUUGAGUACUCAAUAUAUGUACUAAUCUAGGUGCAAGGAAGACACAGAUAAACUGGGGAUGUUUCCUAACCCUAAAAAGUGAGCACACAGAUGAGUGAGACAGACACAUACACAGAUAAUUUCCACUAACAUGGUACAGUGAAGAAAAAUAUGCAUCUGAGCAUGAUAUGAUAUUAAUAUGUCAUGAGAGAAAAGAAGAAGAGCAGCUAGCCCAAAGUGGAAGUGGAAUUCAGGUAAUGCUUCUUGAAGGUCAUUUGCCCAAGAUGAGUCUUGAUGAAGAUAAAGAAAGAUGGGGAAACAAUUCAGAAUGAUGGAAUAGCCUGAGAAAGGCAUGAAAGUAUGAAACCUUGCAUAGUGUAGAUAAUAUUUCUAGAUCAUAAAAAAGACAAGUACAGGCUAUACUUAAGAGGUAGGUAUGGUCCUCAAUACUGAGAGUCUUCUAUACCAGGUUAAGAUGUGUAGAGGACAUCACAUUGACCAGAGGAAGCCACUAAUAGGGAUUGAUUACUCUGGAAGCCUUAUGGAGGAGGAAUUUAAAAAUGGAUUAGGCACGUAAGUUAGGGAACAAUUGCAGUGGUUCAGGAGAGACAUAUUGAGGGUAUGAAGGAGAGAAGCAGUAAUAUGGAUGAAGAAGAGGGGUUAUAUUUGAAAAAUAUUUUUGAUACUAUAUUUAGAUGUGAAGGCUGAGGCCAGGUAAUAAAUGCUCCACUUCAGGGACAAAAACAUGACCUAGACUCCCCAAUAGUAUUCACUUUCUUGAGUUCAUGAUUGAGUCUAGAGAAAUUAAUACAUCUCUACAAGGCAUUAUAGUAUGAGGUAGAAGAUGCUAAGUGUUGAAAGAAAGGCACAGACAUAUGGUUAUGGGAGUUAGAGGAAAGAGGCAUAAAUUCCAACUGAGAGUUUUAGGGAAGUCUUCCUGGAAGAAGAGGCAUGCAAGGCAGAUCUUGAAAGAUGGUUAAGAUUUUGCCAUGAGUUGAUGAGAAGAAAGUGCAUUUCUGAUAAAGGAAUAAUCUGAGAAGACAUAGGAUGAAAGAUGGUGUCAUUUUGAGCUAAAAACACAGGCUCUGGAGUCACACAAAGUUGGGACCAAACUUUGGCUCUGUCACAUUCUAAUCACAAAAUUGGGGAUAAUUUAAUUGACACUUCAGAGCCUCGGCUCCUCAUUUGUACGACAGUUAUGACUAUCAUUUAUCUUAUGGGAUUAUUGUGAGGAUUUUUUCCUAUUAAACUUGAUUUAUUGAUUACAAUGAAAUUGACUUACCUCCGAGUUUUAUACUUUCAUGUGUUUUUGUAUCACUAAUUUUUUAUUCAGCUUGGAGCAUUCUCUUUAGCAUUUCUUGUAAGACAGGUCUAAUGGUGAUGAACUCCCACAGCUUUUGUUUGUCUGAAAAAGUCCUUAUCUCUCCUUCAUUUCUGAAUGACUACCUUGCCAGAUAUAGUAUUCUUUGUUGGCUGUUGUUGUUGUUGUUUACCUUUAGUACUUUUUUUUCCUUCUCCUCUUUUAGGGAAUUUAUUUUAAACCUAUUAUACUACACAAUAUGUUUUAAACACUGACAUAUAACUUCCUAAUAAGAUAGAGCUAAGAUAGAGCAAAGACAAAAAAAGUUUAUCUUAUUGGAAACAAGAUACAGCAUCAUUUAUAGUCAUUGUCAAACAUUACUGCACUUUAACUUUCAUAAUUUGACAAAGCAUUCAUGAAACAAUCUGC